ACGGGGGGGGCAAGCGUUGUUCGGAAUUACUGGGCGUAAAGGGCUCGUAGGCGGCCAACUAAGUCGGAUGUGAAAUCCCCAGGCUCAACCUGGGAACUGCAUCCGAUACUGGAUGGCUUGAGUUCGGGAGAGGGAUGCGGAAUUCCAGGUGUAGCGGUGAAAUGCGUAGAUAUCGGGAGGAACACCUGUGGCGAAAGCGGCUCACUGGACAGUAACUGACGCUGAUGCACGAAAGCUAGGGGAGCAAACAGGA
rnacentral:rRNA from 1 species